GCGGGGGUGGUGUGACUUAGGAUGACAAGAUAUAACGUCUCAUUGUCCUUUUUUUCUUGGCAGUCAGGAGAAAAUAGGACUUCCAAAGAUCUCUGAAGAAAUGUCAGGAUAUUUGUAUGUUACUGUAACAGGAUAAAAAUGACCAAAAAUGACUGUGACAGGGAAAAGAAAUGUAACAAGAAAAAUGUGUCAGGAGGCAGCAUUCACUGACACCAAGUUCACGCACAUCUUUUUUCCCCCGCAAGCAGUGGGGAUACCUGUGUAAGCAAAUACAUUAAUACUGCUGCUGUAACAGACAUGCUCCCUGGCGCUGACGAGCUCACCCACAGGAUCCCUGCUGGGGUGGGAGGGAUGCUGCAUUUUGAGCCCCCAGUAUAUUCUUUAUGAGCAUCUUUGUGCAAUACUCAUAAAAAUUGAGGAAAACAGCAAGAAGGGCGAAGGGAAAAGCAAAGAGAAGAAACAAUCCUGGCAAGAAUGGGGCCAACCGGCCACAUCUGCCAGGGGCUGCCCCAGGCUUUGCAGACCAGGUGCCUGAGACGCUCUAGCAGUAAGGGUCUGCAAUGCCCUGAUUUCAGUAUUUGGGCCUGUUUUCUAUGAAGAGUGGUUCCUAGCUUGGGAGGAAAAGGCUUCUGGCAGCCUCUGUCUGUGCUCUGUGGGAGGCCCCAGCCUCUUCAGGCCACACUGCCCUAUCCAUCUGGCAGUGCCCGAGGCCUUCUUCAGAGGAAUAUUUUCAACAAGACAUAGAGGUGCUUUUGAGAUCCUCCCCUCCCUGCCCCAAAUGAAUUGAGAACUCCUUCAGCAAACCACCAGAAAGUCCAGGUAUGCCACCCUCUCUGCAC
rnacentral:lncRNA from 1 species